rnacentral:rRNA from 1 species
UUGAUCCUGGCUCAGGACGAACGCUGGCGGCGUGCCUAACACAUGCAAGUCGAGCGAAUGAAAUUCCUUCGGGAACGGAUUUAGCGGCGGACGGGUGAGUAACACGUGGGCAACCUGCCUCAUAGAGGGGAAUAGCCUUCCGAAAGGGAGAUUAAUACCGCAUAAGAUUGUAGUACCGCAUGGUACAGCAAUUAAAGGAGCAUCCGCUAUGAGAUGGGCCCGCGGCGCAUUAGCUAGUUGGUGAGGUAACGGCUCACCAAGGCGACGAUGCGUAGCCGACCUGAGAGGGUGAUCGGCCACAUUGGGACUGAGACACGGCCCAGACUCCUACGGGAGGCAGCAGUGGGGAAUAUUGCACAAUUGGGGGAAACCCUGAUGCAGCAACGCCGCGUGAGUGAUGACGGCCUUCGGGUUGUAAAGCUCUGUCUUCAGGGGACGAUAAUGACGGUACCUGAGGAGGAAGCCACGGCUAACUACGUGCCAGCCAGCCGCGGUAAUACGUAGGUGGCCGAGCGUUGUCCGGAUUUACUGGGCGUAACAGGGAGCGUAGCGGAUUUUUAAGUGAGAUGUGAAAUACUCGGGCUUACUGAGUGC